AUAUUAGGCAGAAAGUUAAAGCACUACUCUUUUAGGGGAUAGCUGUUACAAAAGUUAUCUUCUUAUUGAUUGAUUAUUUUCCAAAGUUUUCAACAAAUAUACAUAAAAUUACACAUUUACCACCACUAGGUUAAACGGUUGACGAUCGAGAAGGUGAUGGAAAUGUAUUUAAGGAAAUGGUGGAUUUAGUCUCUCUGGAAUUGAACAACACCAUCCAUUUUGCAAAAAUGAAUGAUUCACAAUUUCCUAGUGGUAUUCAACCAAACUGCUCCUACACAUGUUUUUUGACGUGAUUACAAUAUAAUAAAACAAUGCAAUGCAAGUACACUCGUUCAAAUUAGUCAAGUUAGAUCAUCUCAAAGAUAUUUGGGCAAAGCCUGAUUCUCAAGGCGAAUUGUGAGUGAAGUAGGGAAAGCAAGUACAAACAAAGAAUCCAUGGAAAAUACUUAAGAGUAUUUUGCUAGGCGAGCAACGGUUGGCUCAGCUAACUAAGGUGGUUUCAGAAAAUGACAUAGGACGGCUGACUUUUCCCUCUAUUGAGCAAAGCUUGAUUUACUAGGCGAGCAUCACUUUCGUCCAACGAAUGUACACUUGUAGAAACAUUAUAAAUAGGAGUGUGAUUAAUUUUUUUUUAUCAAUUCACUUGUAACUUAAGAUACUUUAGAUAGAUAACAUUAAUUUAUAUUUUUUAGAAAAAUUUAUAAUAUUAUAAGAAUGUCUACAAAAAAAAUAGAAUUUUUUAACAAAACAUGAAUUAAAUAUGAAUGUUUAUAUUUUUU
rnacentral:lncRNA from 1 species